GAUGAACGCUGGCGGCGUGCCUAAUACAUGCAAGUCGAGCGAACGGACGAGAAGCUUGCUUCUCUGAUGUUAGCGGCGGACGGGUGAGUAACACGUGGAUAACCUACCUAUAAGACUGGGAUAACUUCGGGAAACCGGAGCUAAUACCGGAUAAUAUUUUGAACCGCAUGGUUCAAAAGUGAAAGACGGUCUUGCUGUCACUUAUAGAUGGAUCCGCGCUGCAUUAGCUAGUUGGUAAGGUAACGGCUUACCAAGGCAACGAUGCAUAGCCGACCUGAGAGGGUGAUCGGCCACACUGGAACUGAGACACGGUCCAGACUCCUACGGGAGGCAGCAGUAGGGAAUCUUCCGCAAUGGGCGAAAGCCUGACGGAGCUACGCCGCGUGAGUGAUGAAGGUCUUCGGAUCGUAAAACUCUGUUAUUAGGGAAGAACAUAUGUGUAAGUAACUGUGCACAUCUUGACGGUACCUAAUCAGAAAGCCACGGCUAACUACGUGCCAGCAGCCGCGGUAAUACGUAGGUGGCAAGCGUUAUCCGGAAUUAUUGGGCGUAAAGCGCGCGUAGGCGGUUUUUUAAGUCUGAUGUGAAAGCCCACGGCUCAACCGUGGAGGGUCAUUGGAAACUGGAAAACUUGAGUGCAGAAGAGGAAAGUGGAAUUCCAUGUGUAGCGGUGAAAUGCGCAGAGAUAUGGAGGAACACCAGUGGCGAAGGCGACUUUCUGGUCUGUAACUGACGCUGAUGUGCGAAAGCGUGGGGAUCAAACAGGAUUAGAUACCCUGGUAGUCCACGCCGUAAACGAUGAGUGCUAAGUGUUAGGGGGUUUCCGCCCCUUAGUGCUGCAGCUAACGCAUUAAGCACUCCGCCUGGGGAGUACGACCGCAAGGUUGAAACUCAAAGGAAUUGACGGGGACCCGCACAAGCGGUGGAGCAUGUGGUUUAAUUCGAAGCAACGCGAAGAACCUUACCAAAUCUUGACAUCCUUUGACAACUCUAGAGAUAGAGCCUUCCCCUUCGGGGGGGCAAAGUGACAGGUGGUGCAUGGUUGUCGUCAGCUCGUGUCGUGAGAUGUUGGGUUAAGUCCCGCAACGAGCGCAACCCUUAAGCUUAGUUGCCAUCAUUAAGUUGGGCACUCUAAGUUGACUGCCGGUGACAAACCGGAGGAAGGUGGGGAUGACGUCAAAUCAUCAUGCCCCUUAUGAUUUGGGCUACACACGUGCUACAAUGGACAAUACAAAGGGCAGCGAAACCGCGAGGUCAAGCAAAUCCCAUAAAGUUGUUCUCAGUUCGGAUUGUAGUCUGCAACUCGACUACAUGAAGCUGGAACCGCUAGUAAUCGUAGAUCAGCAUGCUACGGUGAAUACGUUCCCGGGUCU
rnacentral:rRNA from 1 species